rnacentral:ncRNA from 1 species
UACAAAACGGUGAAGAGACAUAGUAAAAGCCUUUUAAAUUUUUCAGAGAGUCGACGGUCGGUGGGAGUUGACAAAUUUCGGUUUUGAAUCCAUCUCGGAGUUUUAGCUUAGUUGAGCGGAUCUUUAUAAGAUCAACAAGGGUGGCAACGCGGGUGCAUCUCGUCCCUUAU